rnacentral:lncRNA from 1 species
AAAAAUAUAUAGAAUUGGAGAUCAUGCUUGAAAACUCAAUAAAUGAUAGUCAAAGCAUGAGAGUAAUAUGUGCAGGUAGUAAAAAGCUGAUAAGUUAGGACUAUCUGUUUACAAAGUUUAAUGGACAGAGGAGAUAUUGAUAAUAAAAUAUUUUUAUGAUGUGCAAUAAUCAUGCAGAGCAGCAAAAGGAUAUAUCAUGAAUUCAGCUAACAGCUAAUUAACAAAUAAAAGUAGACCUUAUUCUGCUACUUGAUCCAGAAUUUAUAUGAGAAAUAGAACCUACAUUAUAAUAUUUACCUUGACCGAUCUCCAAUGCGAAUUUGGCCAGCGUACAGGAUCCAAAUCACUUGUGCCAGUAAUUGUUCCCAUAUACCUUCGCUCAACAUGAAAUUGAAUAAAAAAAAAUGUUUCAGAAACCCUUAAUCAACAAGAAUCAUCCAGCUGAGCUCACAAACCAGAUGGUUUCAUGAUGUUGUACCAUUUUGUGAGUAAAACCAUGAGAGUUGAAUACAUGGAAAUAAUUACCUGCGAAUACUGCAUUCUUCAGUCUCAAAGAGCAUCCGAAAUCGCAUCCCAGCUGACACACGUGUGUGAAAUACAGCCUUAACAUACUUAGAAAGUGGUAUCACGAACUCAGAUGGAUUUGCCCUAUGAAAAUUUCAACC